CAAGUCGAACGGGAAGUCGCUGAUUGAUCCUUCGGGAAAGAGAAGCGGCGGAUAGUGGCGAAAGGGUGAGUAUCGCGUGGGUAAUCUACCCUCAAGUUGGGGAUAACCCGCCGAAAGGCGGGCUAAUACCGAAUGUGAUUCCUGGCCGCAUGGUCAGGCGAUCGAAGGUGGGGAUUCGCUUCGGCGAACCUAUCGCUUGAGGAGGAGCCCGCGUCCUAUCAGCUAGUUGGCGGGGUAAUGGCCCACCAAGGCUAAGACGGGUAGCUGGUCUGAGAGGAUGGUCAGCCACACUGGGACUGAGACACUGCCCAGACUCCUACGGGAGGCUGCAGUCGAGGAUCAUUCGCAAUGCGCGAAAGCGUGACGAUGCGACGCUGCGUGGAGGAUGAAGGCCUUCGGGUUGUAAACUCCUGUCAUGAGAGAACAAGGUCGCGGCUCGAAUAGAGCUGACGGCCUGAUGGUAUCUCAAGAGGAAGUCACGGCUAACUCUGUGCCAGCAGCCGCGGUAAUACAGAGGUGGCUAACGUUGUUCGGAUUUACUGGGCGUAAAGGGUGCGUAGGUGGACGGGUAUGUUGGAUG
rnacentral:rRNA from 1 species